AACGUACGCUGGCGGCACGCCUAACACAUGCAAGUCGAACGCAGUAGCAAUACUGAGUGGCGAACGGGUGAGUAUAAUGUGGGUAUCUGCCUUUUGGUUUGGAAUAACACGAGGAAACUUGUGCUAAUACCGGAUAAGCCCUUACGGGGAAAGUUUUAACGCCAAAAGAUGAGCCUGCACUUGAUUAGCUUGUUGGUAAGGUAAAAGCUUACCAAGGCUACGAUCAAUAGCUGAUCUGAGAGGAUGAUCAGCCACAUUGGGACUGAGACACGGCCCAAACUCCUACGGGAGGCAGCAGUGGGGAAUCUUGCACAAUGGGGGAAACCCUGAUGCAGCGAUGCCGCGUGAGUGAAGAAGGCCUUUGGGUUGUAAAGCUCUUUCGUCGGGGAAGAAAAUGACUGUACCCGAAUAAGAAGGUCCGGCUAACUUCGUG
rnacentral:rRNA from 1 species